AAUGCUGAUGCCAGGACCUUGUCCUGCCAGGAAGCCUCUGAUUAGGGCUGUGAACCAACUUCCUUUUCACAUCUGCAAGGACACUUGGAGGCAACUGCCCAAGGCCACUCUGAGGAGGGUUGAAUGUUCUUUAUUAAAAGGACUGAGGAUCAUGUGUGUUGGUGGGCCUUGGACUCUGCUCUAAGGAAGCCUCUGAUUAGGGCCCUGAACCAAGUUCCUUUUCGCAUCUGCAGACACAUGGAGGCAACCACUCAAGGCCACUCUGAGAAGGGUUGAACGUGCUUUAAAUUAAAAGGACUGAGGAUCAUGUGUGUUGGUGUGUCUUGGACUCUGCUCUAAGACUCAUGGAGGCAACCACUCAAGGUCACUCUGAGAAGGGUUGAACGUGCUUUAUUAAAAGGACUGAGGAUCAUGUGUGUUGGUGUGUCCCGGAGUCUGCUCUAAGGCCCUGUGGCUGCCUGGUGCCCUGGGAAUGGUCCGGUCAUGGGCCUCAGCCCAGGAUGAGCAGCCAACAAUGCAAUCCCACGAAGAGUGUGCGGAAGGGAGAGGUUACUUCUCAAGAUGGAGCUGCCAAAUAGGGACACUUUGGAGAGUCUGGCCUGAGAACUUUUAGUUUCAAGAAUGUAUUGCUUUGGAAAAGACAGAAUAAAAGUCCAAGCACUGCC
rnacentral:lncRNA from 1 species